rnacentral:rRNA from 1 species
UACGUAGGAGGCAAGCGUUAUCCGGAAUGACUGGGCGUAAAGGGUGCGUAGGUGGUUUGGCAAGUUGGUAGCGUAAUUCCGGGGCUCAACUCCGGAACUACUACCAAAACUGUUGGGCUUGAGUGCAGGAGGGGUGAAUGGAAUUCCUAGUGUAGCGGUGGAAUGCGUAGAGAUUAGGAAGAACACCAGCGGCGAAGGCGAUUCACUGGACUGUAACUGACACUGAGGCACGAAAGCGUGGGGAGCAAACAGG